ensembl:lncRNA
AUGGACUGUUGUCUUCUUGGGGACGGCUUGCCAAAUACGACAGGAGACGCUACAAGGUGCAUUGGGCUUAGCAGAGAUGACAGAGAGGCUGAGGCAGAGUGUAACGGGAGCUUCACCGCAGCAGCCCUGCUCUGGGCUUCCAACCGACAGAGGAGCACCGUGAGAAAGAGAGACGGAGAGAGAGAGAAAGAGAAAGAGGAGAAAAGUAGACCUCUGAGCUGCGACUCUUGUUCUGUAAAGCACACAUCAUUAAAUGAUAUAAUGUUGUUGUCAGUUUGUCAUGCAAUAGUGUCAACGAAAAAACUUUACAAGACUAGUGCCAAAAAUUAAGAGAUUGAGAGGGAGAGACAAACACGUCCUUGCCAAUCAUUCAUCAUUGUCUCACUUCCUCUCUCCUCUCUUGACAGACUUGGUCUUUUUGUGCACGCUACCCAGAAUUCCUUGUGACAUUUGUUGUGUGAAGAUUACUCACUGGCCCGUAGCCUAGUGUAGCACAACAGCGAUGGUUUUAAAGACACAGAGUUGGCGCUGUCCCAGCCUCGACACCUCACCCACAAACUGCGCCUCCUGUCAACCCCCACAGGCACCUAUUGUGGCGAAUCAGUGACCGUACCAUUCCUUCUUUCUGCUCUUCACCAACAAAUGAUAAACUAAGUGGAAAAAAAAACAGAAUGGCAUGAAGAAGAAAAGAAGAUCCAGAGCAUGUUGCCUUUCAGCUGAAGUCGUUGAGGACAAUGCAAGUGCUGGACCAUCAUUUUCAAAUGCACUGAAAAGCAGAGUACUGACAAGUUUCAUCAAACAAACAUUUCAUUAUUAUAUUUCUUACAACACAAUGCUUCAAUGAAAAUGAAUGCAAUGUUUAAAUAGAAAAGCAACAUAAUAAUAACUAUUCAAUGCUGCCUUUACAUGCUUUUUGAUUAAGUAUGUCAUGUUAAAGUGUUUUGAUCAGUCCUGCUGAUAGUUGCCACAUGUAUCAUUUGGUUCCAAAAAGCACCUGUCUCUAUCAGCAGAUGAAAAAUAUCGGUGAAUUCUGACUGAAUCUGACUUUUAAUUAUAUUGAUUAUAAUUGUUUUAAAUGUAUUAAAAUACUGUAUAUAUUGCUAAUGUAGUAUAAUACUGUAGAUAUUUUACCAGCAUUUUUCCUUAACAUUAAAUAUAUUUUCUAUUUUUAAUGUAUGAUAAAAUAUUGUUUAUCCUUGACAAAGGCCAACAGUUAUAAAACAGAGCAAAUAUAAUGUAAAAAUACAUGAAUGAUUUGAAUCUGUUAGUCUACUUUAGACAAAUAAAUAAAUAAAUAAUAAAAAUAACCUGCA